GAGUUUGAUCAUGGCUCAGGACGAACGCUGGCGGCGUGCCUAAUACAUGCAAGUCGAGCGAGUCUCUUCGGGGGCUAGCGGCGGACGGGUGAGUAACACGUAGGCAACCUGCCUCUCAGACCGGGAUAACAUAGGGGAAACUUAUGCUAAUACCGGAUAGGUUUUUGGAUUGCAUGAUCCGAAAAGAAAGAUGGCUUUCGCUAUCACUGGGAGAUAGGGCCUGCGGCGCAUUAGCUAGUUGGUGGGUAACGG
rnacentral:rRNA from 1 species